GUCUGAAUGGUUUAGUGAUUUGAGUGCUGGACUACAACUUUGGUGGUUAGGGUUCAAUUCAUUAUUUGGCCA